AGAAUCCGUACGAGGAGAAAGCGUUGUCUUUUGUGUUGUUGAGGAGAGAUUGGGGAAAAGCCCGAAUCCUACCCUGUUACAUUCGCAUUUUUUGUACUUGUUUUUCUUCAUCAUUAAUACUGUUGCUUAUUCUUUUUUAGUUGCUGUGUUAUUCGUUUGUUUUUCUGGCUCUUGUAUGGUGUCCACAGCUCAUUCUUGUUCUUAGAUCCUUAGGAGUGUGAGUAUGUGCUUCACAAAUUUUGUAUUUCUUAUUAUUAAUGUCUGGUCACUUUCUGGUCAUUUAGUUCUCUUGCUACUGAUCAUCAUGUUUGUUUUGGCCAACCACAUUUCCUCUUGCCAUCAGCUGCCCAGUCUUAUGUGGAGAAGUAUAUAGAGGUGUUGAUUAGAAAUAAAUAUAUUGAAAAGUAUUAAGAGAGAUUACGCAUGUGAUGUUUUGUUAAAACCAGCCAGUUUAUGAAAAUUUAUUUUGAACAGAGAUGAGAAAAUAAAAAGCAUAAAAUGUUGGGAAACUCAGACGCAGAUCUUUGUUUUUAGUAGUUGGAAAGAGCACAUGUGAUGCAGUGUAUGUGUUUGCUACAUAUAUAUGUCUUUGACACAUGUCUUGGAGCCAUUUUCUCUAUUAAACAGGCAGACAAAAGAACAAGCUUCAUCUCGAUUGCUAUCAUUAUUAAGGUGUAAAAAGGGCAAAACGUUUUCAUACUUUUGUUCUAGGCCUGCCUGUCUCUAAGCGCUUGGGGAUGCUCCUAUAUUAGAAAGGUAACUCGCACCAAACGACGGUUUCAGGUUUGUUUUUGUUUUGUUUUUUUUUUUUCUCGGUUCGCGGAAAAGUCAAGGCCUUUUACCGCUGACGGUAGCAGCGCCUGACGUCAUGCUCUUGCUACGUCACGUCGUCACGUGAGGUGUGCUUGAGUGCGUUUUGCUGCUUGCUGGAUCUAGAGCUGGCACAGAAUUCUGGGCCCUUCCAUGUCAACGGUUUAGGCGUGAAAAGCAUUCAAAGCAUUCAGGCGAUUGGGCGUGGCUUGAGUAUCGUGGGCGCUGGCUAUUGGUUACAGCCCCUGGGAGACAAGCUGUAAGCCCCGAGCAUAGCGUCUCUGGAUGUGCAAGUUCAACUGAAGUGGUUGAGAAGAGGUCGCGGGCUGAUGGCUGUCAAAUUCCUUUGCGCGUCAUGACGUGAUGCAGUUCAUAAGAGGCGUCACAUGGUCACAUGACUUCCAUAGAUCUAAAACCACAUAAUUCGAACUGGAAAACUGCAGUCAAAUCAAUAUCAAAACACAAUUUAUUGGUUCCUGAAUAUCUUCUCAAGUAGUUGGAAACAUGAGCCAAAGACCCGAAGCUUCCCAGAGGAAGCGAAAGGCGAGACGGGGUGGUAGCAGCGAGGAUGAGGCUCACUGCUCACAUCAACAAGCACCUCUACCACGAGGACGUCCUCCAGCGAGACGACGACGAGGACGUCCUCCAGUGACACAAGCACGAGGACGUCCUCCAGCGACACAAGCACGAGGACGUCCUCCAGCGACACAAGCACGAGGACGUCCUCCAGUGACACAAGCACGAGGACGUCCUCCAGCGACACAAGCACGAGGACGUCCUCCAGCGACACAAGCACGAGGACGUCCUCCAGCGAGACGACGACGAGGACGUCCUCCAGCGACACAACCACGAGGACGUCCUACAGCAGCUCGCCACAAGGGCGUCCAAGUGUCUAGUUUUCCUAGCUAAGAACGAGAGAUAUUGCGCCCUGAUAUUAAGAUUUGGAACAAAAUAACCACAAGGAGCAAGAACUGGGAAUUGGAAAGUGCUGUAAAUAGUUUUAUUUGCGAAAACACACCCACGCAACCUCUCUCCACCCCGGUCCUCCCACAGAAACAUUGCCUUUCAGUACCUUCUACUUUGUACUUACUGGAAGUUUUAUUUCACGUGACUUUGCACCUGAUCGUUGGGGUGAGAGAAUAUCACAUCUAAUUAUUUUAUUUGCGAGCUCUGUGACUAACACACGGUUGACUGAGGCAGGUGUGAACACGCACAUGCGAGCGCGCCUCUUACAGCUUGAGAUGUCUUCUGUGAACUUCCGACUCCAACAUAAGUUUUAUUCUAAAAUUUGAUGAACGAGAUAAAACGAUGAUUGUACAGGCGCCACACCCUACAUACACUGACCUGGCGCUUAACCUACAGUACAUAGGAUUUCAGAGAGAGCGAGGGGUAGAAAGUCAUCCGUUCACAAACACUGUGGUACAUUAAAAUCGUGUGAGCAAAAUAUGUCCAGACCUGUACAACAACAACAACAGUGUCAAAAUCAGUUUGAAGUCUCCGCAUGCAAACCCAGCAUGUUGUUAUGAUUUAAAAUGUUUAUUUAUUUAGAAUCAUCCAUUCUUCACUUGGUUCGUGCAUUUUGAAUGUUUAUUUUUCUCUAAUGCAUCUUUUCUCAAUUAAUUUUAUCUCUAUCUUGUGAUGUUUAAGUCUCAAAAAAUAACUUCAAGUAGCCAUUAAUCUUCUGGAAGAUGAUAACAAAAUAAAUGUUCAUGAUGUGACCAGGUCCGGCACGUUAGCGUGAGUAGAGAUCGACUUAAAUGGUUGAAAUGAUGUCACUUUAUACCUGUACCCAAGUGGUAAAAUUUCCUGGAAAAUUUAAAAUAAUGAGAUAAGAAUUUUGUCUGUAAUUUUAUAGCAUUUGGCUAAUCAAGUAUUAUCAAUACAUAUAAAUACAAACUUAAUAUAACACAUUCUGUUUGCAUCACUUUUACAGUAGUAAAUAUGAACACCACAGGAAGAAUUCCAGUGGUUGUGACUGUGAUCUCCAGAUCGCGCGUCGGGAUUUAAAAAAAUUUGCCAUAAAGAUCCAUGCUAAUUUUGAGAGUGUAUUUUUUGUUUUUGUAUGACCAGAAAGUGACAGGUACAAAGCGCAGUAUGACACCUAUAUAUAUAUAUAUCUUCUUGGAUGUGAAUCCUAAUUCAAGAUAUUCGUGGCACCUUUGGAUGGUCUGCACCACUCUGUCUCGUAUGAACCCGAUAUCAAAAGAAGUUUGUAGGGUGAUAUGAUCUUAUUACUAUUUGCUUGUGCGAGCGUGUGACUAUAAAUUCAGUGAUCGGCGCGCGGUCGAAAUGAGUACUUGUGACCGAUUCUCACGCGCUUUGCUUGCAGU